AACAAACGCUGGCGGCGCGUUUUAAGCAUGCAAGUCGGACGGCAAGAGCUAUAGCAAUAUGGCUCCUAGAGUGGCGAACGGGUGAGUAACACGUAGGUGAUCUGCCCUUGGAUGGGGGAUAGUCCGUGGAAACACGGGGUAAUACCGCAUGAGGCCUUGUGGGUAGAGCCAUGAGGUGAAAGGUGCAAUUGCACCGUCUGGGGAUGAGCCUGUGGUCCAUUAGGUAGUUGGCGGGGUAAGGGCCCACCAAGCCUGCGAUGGAUAGCCGGCCUGAGAGGGUGUACGGCCACACUGGAACUGAGACACGGUCCAGACUCCUACGGGAGGCAGCAGCUAAGAAUCUUCCGCAAUGGGGGAAACCCUGACGGAGCGACGCCGCGUGGACGAUGGAGGCCGUAAGGUUGUAAAGUCCUUUUCCUGGUGAAGAAUGACCGUGGGAGUGGAAAGCCCAUGGGAUGACGUUAGUCAGGGAAUAAGCCCCGGCCAAUUACGUGCCAGCCGCCGCCGUAAUAC
rnacentral:rRNA from 1 species